UAUAAUUGAAAAGUUCUUAAC
rnacentral:piRNA from 1 species